rnacentral:rRNA from 1 species
UACGAGGAUGCAAGCGUUAUCCGGAUUUAUUGAGUUUAAAGGGUGCGUAGGCGGUUUGCUAAGCGGGAGGUGAAAUGCCGGCGCUCAACGUCGGAAGCGCCUCCCGAACUGGUGGGCUGGAAUGACUCUGCCGUGGGGGGAAUGUGUAGUGUAGCGGUGAAAUGCUUAGAGAUUACACAGAACACCGAUUGCGAAGGCAUCUCACGAAGGGUUGAUUGACGCUGAGGCACGAAAGCGUGGGGAUCAAACA